UGAAAAAUGGCGUGGGUGCGUAGGGUAAUCCAUUUAGGACUUUUGUCCUAAAAUGAUAAUUCUAUUUUGGGGCAGAAUUGUAAUAAAAAUCUCAUUAUUUUUGGAGGGUGCUACCGUGCUAAUAUGGAAAUUAGGAAAUAGUAAAAAUGUCCAAAGCUGCCCCUAAUUUUUACCCUUUUUUAUGCGUGGGAAGAUUAAGAAUAAAUUGUGAUUCAUUAGUGUUCCGACAAAUAGAAAUGUCCGAAAAGGAGGUAUUAGCAAAUUAAUCUCGGGCGCAUUGGAAUCUAAAAUAUGUCCAUACAAUUUUAUCCCUUGAGUGGAACAACGUCGUUUUUUUCUCCCCAAAGCCAGUCCAACCAAUUAGCAACAAAUCGAGAAUUGCUUUCAUCUGCAUAUUUGACUUGCACCCCUAGCAUAUAAUACCAAGUGCAAAACUACACAUAUAAAACUUACUCCCUUUCGCAUACACGACUUCAACCCUUGGCAAGUAUAGUAGCACCGCGACCAAGUUACAUGAGAGUAUACUAGAAGUCAAGCAUAUGCUGAUGCGAGCAAGAAUUUUGAGCAUAUAGAAGAGUAUUAAUGUCUUAAGGUUACAAAAACUUUUGAGCAUCAGUCGAAAAGAUCUAAUAUGCUGGUCUGCGACACAAUCUUCUCAAACGAACUCGUUCCU
rnacentral:lncRNA from 1 species